rnacentral:lncRNA from 1 species
CUCAAUUUUCCAGUCAAACAACACCUUCUACACCUCCAUAUGUAUCUCCUUCUAUUGUACAUCAAACUGUUGGACAAUCAAGUGCAAGGGCAGGUCCAUCUGUUGCAAAUUCAAAUGCAAGAACAAUGCCAUCUGUUGCAGGUCCAUCUGUUGCACCUCCACAAAAAGGAAAGGUUACAAUUAAAGUUAAUUUUAUAAUUUUUUAAAUAAAUUGCAACUCAUGUUCAUUUUAUUAUUGUUUUCCAAUAUUAAUAUUACCUUACUGAUUAUUAUUUAGGUAUAUGUUGGAAGAAGAAAUGAAGUAUUGUUAGGAAAAUGUAAGAAGUUCAACAAACCAAGGUCAAAACCACCAGUUCCCCCCUCAGCUCCAUCAGCACCUCUAUGUGCUCCUUCAGCACCUCCAUGUGCUCCUUCAGCACCUUUUUCUGCAUCUGCACCAUCCUCUGCUCCUUCAGGUGGAAUUGCACGUGAGAGAAUAAGAAAGCCUCAACUAUCCGAAGUCAUUAACAAUAUCAAGGA